UACUCAGCCUGCAAUUCGGAAACUGUUUAAUCCUUCAAACACGAAAGGAGCGUUCGAUGCCUACGAAGUUAUCCCACUUCAGAGGUAAGUCCACUUGGCUCCACGUAUAUGAUUAAACACCAGUAGCUCGAGCUCUCUUUGCUCUCGGUGGUCGGUUGCCGGGGGUUCCUAUUUUGACUCGUAUUAAUGUCCAGCUGCCGCUGAAGAAUGCGAGGAAGAGGGGCUCCAGGGUUUUCGGCCGGGAGUCACGAUGCUUCCUGCGUCCGUCCGGCGUGCUUCUCGCCGGACGCACCAUCUUGGCUCCCUGGCUGUGAACGUUUUCAGGAAGUGCUUUCUGGAACAACAAAUACCUCUCUCCUCCAUUAUAUAAAAAAAUCCCCUGCAUGUCGUGCCUACAUUUUAUCCCGGCUGCAUUCAGGGGAAGACAAGGGAGCCUGUGCUGAUCCGGCUCACACGCUAACCCCUGAAAUUUGGGAACCGGCAGAAGGACGGUAAUUCGACACCUUUCUUUCAUAAAUAUUUAAGAGUGUGUGUCUGCAGCUCUCGCUUCGGAGGAGUUUUCUGAGGGGCAGGUAAUCCUGGUUUUAAGGAAGGGUUGCCGCGUCUCCGCCCUCAUCGUCCACGCUGUGCCUUCGGGGAUUGGCCCCCGUGCCCACCGCGACUGGGCGCUCUCGCCCCGGGUUCCAGCGGCCAGCGCGCAGCCUGGACAGGCCAGGCGGCUUGUGCCCGGCAUUGGGGCCAUUAAAGGGGAGACGUGGCUCAGCCGAGGGCUCUCCCGUGUCACCCCCCCCAAGCGAGAGGCCGCUUUUCAGCUUCAAAACAGCACAAGCGAAGUAAGCAAAAGCCCUCUUUGCUGCCUCCGGGUUCAGAUGACAGUUGGCUUUUGCCCGAGGCUGUUGAGCAAUCUCGAAUGACUUCUCUCCCCUGCACACUGGGGAUGAACCACAAGUUAUUAUAACAAAGCUGGUCGUUGCUCCCGCCAGCGCGUUUCAUCAGCUCCUGGCGUCUCCUUGCAGCCCGACACGCUCUGCCCAGCAUGACGGAUGGCCGGUGCUUAGCGAGCAGGCUCGUUCAGCGGAGCAGUUACUGGCAGGAGCUUUUCCUCUGGCUCCGGGGCUCGGCGUGCACAGACGCGGCCCUGCACGAAUUCCCCAGCAGGGAUGAUAAGAUGUAUCUGGUCUGCCAGCAUCAGGCAGCUUCAUUAAUUAGAACCACAUUGCCUCUUAUCGCAGAAGAUGGAUUUUUCUAGGAAGAAUUACCCUUUGGCACUUAGGAUGAGCAUGAAGAAAAACAGAUAAGACCACAGACAUAACCUUCCUUAAUUUAGGACGGCAAAUAUUUAAGCAUAGGAUUAAGGCUUCGGGAAAAGGAGACUUUGGCUACCAUUCUGCAGAGGAGCUAUCUGGGAGAGCUGCCUUCCCUUGUUUGGGCUGGCUCUGGGAGGUAGACAUUUGGGGAGCUGUAACUUAACAUGCAUUGGUCCUACGGUUUAAAACACGCUGUUGAGUACUGCACUCUUUCGUGCUUAAAACAAAACAGUGCAAAAUAAGCAAGAAGCAGGCUAGUAAAAAAGUUUACAAAGCCACCAAACACGGGGAAAAAAAAAAUCUAGCAAAAUCAAGUUGUUUCUUUGAAGGGGAGAACUGACACUUCCAGCGGGAAGAGCAGCGAGCGUCAGAGGCCGUCUGAGUUUUAAGGUGGCGUGAGGCUGAGUGGACCUGCUUCCUGGCCCUCGUGCAGAACUUCAUGUGCGGGAAUCCUGCGCCCAAAGCCACGACGAGAGUUGGCUGCCACGAACGUCCAAGCCCGUGGAGACGGUUCCAACACCUGCCAGGCAGUUUGCAGCCCCUGCUUCAGUCUCACCCCAGACCUCAUUGGAGGACCAGCUUUGCAUGUAAGCCAGUUGACUGAGAACCUAGCCCUCUCAGGGGGAAGGGAAGUCGCUGGAGGGUUUCGGGCAGAGACGGGGUGCGAUUAGACGUGUGUUUUUGAAAGACUGUCCUUCACGAUCCGGUGAAGCCAAGGGCUCCCUUCACUCCUCCCCGUUCUUUGCUGUCCUUCACCCGCCAUUCGGGAGGGGAGCCCCUGGGGCUUCCUGCCCCACAUCCUUGAGCGGAUGGCAGUGUUGAGAGACGCCCCGUGGUCCCACCCUCAUCCUUCAGGAUGGAGAGUGAGAAAGCCAUGAAUGAACCUCAGAAGGAGCCAGAAAACCUCAUUCUUCCCAGAUGUUCUUCUCCUCAGGCCGUCGCACGGUGUCUCAAACACAGUUGCUCAUUACCUGGAGCCUUGGAGAGUGGGGCUCCCCCUUCCCCCUCCAGAUGUAACAUUUCAGUGAUUACUCACCAGUCGCCGCGCUGCCCCUGCAACGGCGAGUUCCUUCUCCACGACGUUCUCUCCCGUCAAGAGCCGUGCUGACAGGUGGCUGAGUCACACCUUCUUGGAGCGCGCCGGAUGCCACACGCUCCAUGGAGGGCGCGCGGAGGGAGGAGAUGAGACGCUACACACUGGGUGACGGGUGAUGAGAUGAUCACCCCUCGCUGACAGCACGCCUUGGAAUCUGCGUUCCGGAUGAAGAGAGCUGGCGAAAAGAAUGCUGAUGUGGGUGAACGGGGGUUUUAGUUCAGGGAAGUGGCUCAGCGGGGCACGCUGAGUCACCCUGACCGCACCCCAGUCUCCGCACGCCUCUCCCUCCCGGUGGCUUUCUCUCCCGGGAUCUCAACUCUACGCCGUCACCGGAGUACGCUCCCAAAGACCACGCCACUAUUUAAAAAAGGGGGGGAGGGGUCCAUCGCCGAGCCCCUUGCUGCCUUGUUGGUCUCACCUCUCACUCCAAUCGCGUGGUUUUCUGCGACGUAUUUCAGAAACCUGGAGCUACGUAUCGGCCCCCAGGCCCCACGCUGUUGGCUAAGUCCACGUUCCCUCGUCACUGGCCUCCACUAAGUACGCCAGCCACCACUUGAUGCUGCAAACAAAACUCUGGGUGUCAUUCUUAAAUGACCCGCUCCCUUCUGCUGGUGGCCAGGCUCCGCGCUGCUCACAUCCCCGUGCACACUCAUGCCUGGACACGGGCGUUGCUCCACACUGGACCACGGCGCUCACCGCCUUUUCCACCAGGUCCCCCUGCAGCCCUCUGGGAGAUCCAGCCACGGCACGCCCCCGCCUGCGACGUUCCAUGGCUUCCCGCUGUUCUUAUGAUGAAUUCUGCUUUCUACCGUGUCCUGUAUCUCACGCUUGUGAGCACCCCCCGGCCCCCUCAUACACCUCAUUGCAUCUCUUUCUCGCCUUCUUUCUGUCCCUGAAGCACCUUUUUAAGGUUUUGGCGGGAGUGGCAGCACCCUAGGGUUUGGAAGAACCGCAUCUCUUGAAAAGCCUGCCCCUUCCUCCUCGUUACACAGCCGAGAAACACCCCGAGGAAGGGUAGCAUUUGCGGUGCGUGUUCCACGGGUCUCCUGAUCUCUGUCAGUGCUCCCCGCCCCCCCAACAGUUCCUCUUCCCAGGACGGGUCCCUACAGCCAAGGUCAGGCAGCAAGGCCCGAGGGCCUCCAAGCUUUUCAGCACCAAGAGGGUCUGGACCAGCAGCCGCAGGGUCCAGGCAAGGCACGUACGACAAAGCAAAGCCGUGGCAGAGCGGUGGAGGUGGGGGCUGUCACCCUGCCGGGGCGGGGCCACUGCUCAGUGCUGCCGGACGUCUGCGCUCAGCGCCCACCGCCGGGGAGCUCUCGACUUUCGAUUAAAUUCUCAAUCUUAGUAAAGUGUAAGGUAAAGAAAGAGUGGGAGUGACCUCUGGGGCAGACGUCCGGGGGAGCGCGGAGGGCCACAGGGCAGCCAGGGGUGCGGGUGGAAGGAGAGCAGCCGAGAAGGGCUGAGCGUGGCGGGUACAGGACGGCGAGGGCCGGCAGGGCGGCGGAGCGGCAGAGGAGGCAGAGGGCUCGGACCGCGCACAGCGGAAGCGGGGCGGCCCCCGGAGACCCCUUGCUGUCAGCAGGAUAAAUCCACAUUUCUUUCUCCUAAAAGUUCUAGCCUCUCCGGCGUCUCUGGCCGCCUAGCUUGGCCUCACGGCUCCGGGGGUCUGCCAGGCUGCGCCCGGGUUCGCGCCCUGAGGCUGCACGGGAGAUGCUGGCGGCGGAGGCCGCCCCUGUCUCUGCGGUAACCGGUGUCCAACGUCUCAGAAGCUGUUGCUUUACAUCUUUUUAUUUCUUCUCUUUUCUAUUUUUUUUAAAGUUGUUUCAGGCAGGAAGGCAAAUCCAAUCACUGCUGCUCAGUCUCAGCGUAAAGUGUCAGUCCCCCUGCUCACCCUCAACACACUCAUCCUUGAGGGAAAACACAGAUCACCCUGUAAAGUCCACCCUCUCCAGGUCCUCCCUGACGUUCCUGCAAGUCAGGCAUCCCACGUGCGCGUCCCGCCUUCGCCGCUUGUCCCAGACGUCUCUUUCCUCUCUCUGUCCCCUUGGCACCACGCUCUGCGGUGCGCAGUCACGUUCACCUGUCCGUUUUCUUUUCGACUGUGUCCAUUAUCUUCAGUGAGGGGCACAUCCAUCUCUGUAACGUUCCUUCCGUUCACUAACAGAGUCCACAUGCAAGGACUACUUGUGAAGGAAUGGAUAAGUAAAUGGAAAGGAGCUCGGGGAAUCGUAGCGAGUGGACAUUGGCUGACGUCUGAGAGGACAGCUUGGAGGACGGUGUGGCGCUCUGGAGGCAGACCCCGAGCUGGGGGAGACGAGCUUGAGAUCUGGGGGGAAACACCUGUGAUGGGACGUCUCUCCUCGUGUGCCGUCUGACACCUCUGAAAGCAGAGAGGGCAGAAAGAAUUGGGCAGAAAGAGCUUCCAGCUGAAACCCACCUUCUGAGAAGGCGUAAGGCUGACGGGGCUCCCCUGGCAAACCGUGCCGCUGAAGUGGUCCUGCGUCGGGCAGAACGGCCCCGUGUCCGACCCCACCGUGCUCAGGCACUGGCUGCGGCGGCCCAGGGGACAAGGGGCCCCCGCAGGAACACGGUUGCGAGUGUAGGGGUGCUGCUGCCCCUGCAGGUUGGCGGCCAGCUAUGCUCCCGCAGCGGGCGUCCUGAGGCCCGGGCGGCGUGAAUCUCUGGCUACCGCACAUGGGUUGGGGUCGAGGGGUGAGCAGCCGGGGUGAUGCAGAAUGUUGCCACCAUUUGCACAUGCUAACUACUAUCCAGAAAUUAGACAACGCCCAGUUUCAUGUGCACAGCCCAGGGGACUGCGUUCGCCGUCUUGUGGGAACCUGUAAGGAGAAGGAAUCUGAAAGCAAACAGGUAUGUGUACGCGUGACUGACACAGGACGCUGUGCACCAGAAACUGACACACUGUGACCAACCACACUUCAAUUUAAAAAAUAUUUUUAAAAAGCCUGCAACCCACCCCCGAGACCGCUGAGAGAGGGCCCCGGUCGGCAGCUGGAGCUGGCCCGCAGGGGCACUCCUGGGCAGGCCUCUGUGCUGAGCACCGGGCCCUGGAGCUGGUCUGGGGCCUGCCCGGAUUCCGGCUCUCUCUUCGCCUCCGACGGGCCAGGGCACAGAGCCGCGCGGCUUAUCCAAGACCCGCUUUACGAGUCCCCUGCUUUGAGGGCUGGCAGGUGCAAUUUGUUGCUUUCAUUGUCUCGUAAAGAUGCUAAUCUCCCAGCCACAGCGAGGGGCCGCUUCUGUGGCCGGUUCUGCUUCGCUGCUCAACAUGCUGAAGGGCUUUGCUGGAUCCCCGUGCCACGCUUGCCAAGUGACGAGCUGCCCUCCUCAGCUGUCACGGAGGCGGUGGAGGGCCUGGGACUGAACAAGCAGCGCCUUGCCGCAGGCAGCCUCCCUGAGUCACGGGGUGAGGGCUGGGGGAGCGGCCAGGUGCCCCAGCAUGCCGGGCCCGAGUUCCGCGCAAGGACACCGAGCCCGCAGGGCUGCCUCCGAGCUGCUGCCACCAGGCUGGGCUCUGCCCCCAACACACCGAGACCUGAUCCAGAAAGUCUGUGGAAAACGGGCAAAGGGCACACGGAGGCUGGAUUCGGGACCUUGCUGAGCGUGCAUUUUCUUGCACUGAGGCCCGAAGCCAGCCCUGUCUUCCCCGCACACACGCUCUGCCGUCUUAGGUCCACCUGAAGGGAGUGGAGCUUCGGGACCACUUCAAAGCGCACUUAGCAAGACGUCACGCAGACAUCACAGCCUGUUGCUAGACCUCAGCUGGUGGCAGAGGAGUCUGCUGAUCUUCUCAAAGCUGGAGAAUCUGCUCACUCCUUCAGGUCAGAUGCGGCUUGAGGUUUCAGUUUUCCAAAUGCAGAAACGGGGAGAAAGUGUUUGUUCGUUUAUGUGCUAAGCACACGCACGCAUCAGCUGGAUGAAAUCUCAGGAGCCAGGCUCCCAGCCUGGUCACGAACGGGGAUCGGGGGACAAGGAAGCGGCAGUCGUUUGCAGGCUGGACGAGCCUGGGGGCCCUUUGCCGCCGUCUCCCGGCUCCUGUCUCUGGUGUCCUGGACGGUGGCACGCUCGUAGGUGACGCCUUGCAAUGGCCAAGCAGAGUUCAGAGCGACUCUCCCUGAACCCAUCACAGCGGUCCUUCCAGCCACGGGCGUUACGCAGCGGCAACGGCAGUUUCACAGGCUUCGCAGACGUGCCUGGAGAAUGAGCCCGGCAGAGAGCAAGGGACCGCAGGCCACACCAUCCAAGUGUUCUGGGACGCCUGGAUGGUUCGGCCCUGCCCUCCUGUCUCAUGAACGCUGGCCCGUCUGCUGAGAUGCAUAUACAGUGUCACUCCUGUGUGCCAGUGCGGAGAUGAUUUCGUUAAGGGCAGAACCUGGAAGGGCACGAGUGGAAAUGCUGACUGCCAGUGAGAAGAUGGGGUUUCGCCAGGGCGGUCUCGGUCACCCUGGUGUUUUGCAGUGCUCCGCCCGGGCACAGACUUCUGGGGUUGCCCUUACAGAAGGGGGGCCGCACAGACCUGGUCAGAUCUAGGCUCUACAGCUACCCUGGGCAAGGUGCUCAGCCUGCUGUGGACUGUUUCCUCUGCCGUAACAAGGUUCUCUCCUGGUUUGGUUUAACCAGGAGAGACAUUAACUCCACAUCCAUGUGCAUAGAAUCAGCCUCUUCCUGGUAAAGAAUUGUCCACGGUUCUGCAGCCAGUGGCCUCACGCACGAAGAAGACGCAGAAGGCUGGUCCUGCAGGAAGGAUGAAAAGAUCCGCAGAGCCCAGCCUGGAGGUGGAGAGACCCCGGAGCAGCGAGCUGGACCACAUGAGACCGACAACAUUCGACUGUCUUGACCUGCGUACAUGGCCAUUUUAUAAGAUUCAACACAACACACGGAACCUGUUCCAGGCGUCCUGAGGUCUGUCGCAGGAAACGAAACCAGUCUGCACAGGAGCUAAACAAAGUUCUCCCUCUCAGCAGAGAUUCAUUUGGAAGCAUGCGGUGCAGGAAGGGUUCCAGGGCAGGUAAACUUCCUAAGGAUAGAGUGAGCUGUUACCAGAAUUGCUGAGUGACCUGGCAGAGACGUCCUAGAAGGGCGCGCGCCACGUGCAUCCCAGCCUCAGGCAUCGAUUCAUCCUCUCCUCUCUCCCUGAGGCUCAGGGUUUUAGAUGUGAGUGGUGCAAACAUUACUAAACAUUCAAAUCCAGUGAGUGUGAGAUACGACUUGCAUUACCGGUAGUUAAUAGAGUGUGAAAUGUUAAUCAAAUGUGUAGCUUUUUAUUUCUCUCCUUUUCUAUUUUCAAAAUAGCCGAGAAAGGUUGUUAUUCCAAAGUUAAAAAUUAGUUUGAGCACACUGUGAAAAGUAUAUUCACAAUUACUUUGUAUUAUUUCAGAAUGCAUCCUGUAAUUGUUUAAUUCUAAGAAUUAUUUUGUGGGUCGCUGACAUCAAAGCAUAGUGAAUUAUUUGAUUUAUUUAAAUUUAAAAGUUGUUUUUUAUGAUUCUUCUAAAAAAUACUCAGAAGUAGCAUCAUUUCCUGAAAUUCCUCAUCGGAAUCAUCUACGCUGACUGAUCACGGCCCAUUCUAGUUUAGUGAAGAAUACUUUAAUAAAAGUCAUUGUACUGUUGGAAUAAAAUUCACGUAAGAAUGACCACUUCUAACGAUAAAUAGAGAACUAUUUUAACAUCGUCUGAGAAUAAAUGGGUUUUAAUUCUGACCUCUCGUUCAUUCCUUCUGUCAUUACUGUACUCGGCACUUCCCGGUUACGUGCCAGGCUGCACCACGGGGUGGGUGAAGGUCAAGCCAGGAGUGCGUGUCCUGCGGCCUUUUCCCACCUGCAGUCGACUCCAUUCAGAUCGUAAUUUCCAGAUUCACUGGUUGGCGAAUUUAUCAAACACUCAGUCCUUGAUCAGAUGACUUGAACCACUUGUGAAUGUUGAGAA